UACGUAGGGGGCAAGCGUUGUCCGGAUUUAUUGGGCGUAAAGAGCGUGUAGGCGGCCAGAUAGGUCUGUUGUGAAAAACUCGAGGCUCAACCUCGAGACGCCGACGGAAACCAUCUGGCUAGAGUCCGGAAGAGGAGAGUGGGAUUCCUGGUGUAGCGGUGAAAUGCGCAGAUAUCAGGAAGAACACCCGUGGCUAAGGCGGCUCUCUAGUACGGUACUGACGCUGAGACGCGAAAGCGUGGGGAGCAAACAGG
rnacentral:rRNA from 1 species